GGCCACACCACAAUCAGGCCAAGGCUGGCUUAAUGAGGGCCCAGCUGGCCCUUAUAAGAGGGCUGGGGCCAGAAACCAGAGACAGACUCUCUCUAGGUAUGAGAGGGAGGGAUCUGGCUUCAGGGAGCUGAGAGAAGAUUAUUUGGGAGCAGGCAACACUCACCUGUGUGCCCAGGUGCCUGAUGAUGUCAACAGUAAAGGAGAUCUUGAGCAUCCCAGUGGUGAUACUGGACAGAGUUCUAGACGCUUGCAUGGGCGUACUGGCUGUCAAAGCUGAGGACAGCACUCUGUUGGUCCAGCAAAGUAGUCCAGCCACAGCAACAUGGGGAGAGCAAUUCUAACUUGGGAUCAUUUCAAGCUGCACAACCCCUCGGAAGAUCCCAGCUGUUAUAGCCAGAGAUUUGAGAAAAUCUUGAUCCCCACCCCUAAAGCAACUGAAGAAAUACAGACUGGAUCCAACUUCUGCCCCAUGCUGGACAAGGGCACCACCACAAG